AAGUCACCUGUGUUUAAAUCUACAAGUCCACUUAUUUCACUCUACGGUCACCUUCCACUCGCCCUACUCACUCUGAGUUUCUUAUGGUCAGGGCUAUGCCUGGCUUUUCUUUGAAUUCCCCAAGUACCCAGCACAAAAAUGCUAUAGUAAAGGAAACAAGGGUGACAACCUUCCUUAGACUCCCGGGCCCCAGGUCUUCCAGAUAUCAAGACGUUUCUCCGCUGAAAUGCAUAGAAUCUAAGAUAACAAGGACAUUAGUCAUGAUUUAGUUAUAUUCUACCAUCAGGAUGAGCAGAUUUCUCAGUCCUACGUGACUCAUCCUUUAAAUUGGGGUGGUUUGGAUGUCGUAAAGCCCUCUGCCCAAGGAGGCCCUGAGCUGACCAUGAGCAUAGACUUGCAUGGGGAAUUUUAACAUAGCUGUUGUCCUCAUCACCUUUUUAGCUGGUCUGGGCUCCUUCAUAUUGAAUAGAUCAAUCCAUUACUAAGGGAGACGAGAGAAGAUUCAAACAUCCUGCUCUUUGGGUUUACAUUUCAUUCUUGCAUUUGCCUGUGGGAACUACACAUGUUAAAAGGAAAUCCUCAUGCUGUCAGAUCACAAGAAUCUGAAAUGCCUUUAGCUGCUCUCUCUCCACCGAGUGGAUCCAUUCUAGAGGCCUCCUAUAGUGAUUGCUAAGAUCACUGGGUUUCACCCUCCAAUGAAGCCACAGUACAAUACUGUAACCCUGCCUGGUUUGGUGGGAAAACAACACUAAUUAAAUAAAAGAGCAUCAAUUCUACAUGUCAUGCACAAGUUGCAUCUGAGAUCUCUUUUUCAGCUUUCAGACCUGACAUCCAUCCCAAAACCACUGGCGGGAGGGGGAGGGUAGGUGAGCAGUGUUUCUGGGCUUUGGGCUGCAUGUGGAAAUUACCUGAGAGCUUUGAAAUUCCUGAUGCCUAGUUCCCACUCCCAACAAUUCUGUUCUAUUUGGUCUAAGCCUCGGUCUAGACACAGGGAUGUUUAAAAACAAAUAAAAGAAGAAAUUAGUAUCUGCUUGUAUUUAAUAUGUGGACUGAGGUGAUCAAAUGUCCCAGUAUGCCCCAGAGGAAAGGAGUUCCUGGAACACAGGACUUUCUUUCCCUUUUAAAAAAAACAAAAAUUGUUAAAGUUGAUUUACAAUAUUCUGUUCUUUUCUGCUGUAUAGCAAAGUGACCCAGUCAUAUUGUAUAUAUACAUUAUUUUUCUCAUACUAUCUUUCAUCAUGUUCCAUCCCAAGAGACUGGGUAUAGUUCCCUGUGCUGCACAGUGGGACUCCAUUGCUUAUCCAUUCUAAAUGUAAUAGUUUGCAUCUACCAACCCCCAAAUCCCCGUCCACCCCGCUACCCUCCUCCACCUUGGCAACCACAAGUUUGUUCUCUAUGUCUGUGCAUCUGUUUCUGUGCUGUAGAUAGGUUCAUAUAUGUAAUAUUUUACAUUCCACAUAUAAGUGAUAUCAUAUGGUAUUUGUCUUUCUUUUUCUGACUUACUUCACUUAGUAUGAGAAUCUCUAGUUGCAUCUAUGUUGCUGCAAGUGGCAUUAUUUUGUUCUUUUUUAUGGAUGAGUAGCAUUCCAUUGCAUAUAUGUACCCCAGCUUCUUAAUCCAUUCACCUGUCAAUGGACAUUUAGGUUGUUUCAGAACACAGGACUUUCAAUGCUAAAUCCCGGAAAGUCCCAGGCAAACAGGACAAAUGGGUCACCCAACAAGGAUCAAUGCUAGAGCUGCCUCUUGGUAAUGUGUGAUCCGUGGUUUUGAAGGAGUCCCUGGGGACAAGAGGAAGGAAGUUACACUUGGGAGGAAGGGUGAGGGUGGUGCCCUCACUCAGAUUGUUCAUUUCCACCAUCGUACAGCCACAGUUGAAGUUUACAUGGGGCAUUAUUGGUGUGAUUAAUUUUGUAGGCAAAACAGCUUUAAAUGAUACAAUAUUUAUAAUGAUACAAGACUCUUCCACUACAUAGAGAAUCACUGAUUAACUCAUGGCAAACAAAAAAACAAAAACUGCAAAGAACUGUCAAACUUAAAAAUAUAUUAUCUGGAGUUCCUGUCAGGGCUCAGUGAGAACAAAUCUGACUAGCAUCCAUGAGGAUGCAAAUUCCAUCUCUGGCCUUGCUCAGUGGGUUAAGGAUCAGCGUUGCCCUGAGCUGUGGUGUAGGUCACAGACAGGCUCGGAUCUGGCAUUGCUGUGGCUGUGGCAAAGCCAGUGGCUACAGCUCCAAUUCGAUCCCUAGCCUGGAAACCUCCAUGUGCCUUGGGUGUGGCCCCAAAAAGACAAAUAUAUAUACAUAUAUGUAUACAUGUAUGUACAUAUAUUAUAAUUUAUUUUUUAAAAAUGCAAUAAUAUGAAAUUUUCUGAUCUUUUUUGGUUGAAAAGUUGAUGGUCCCAAAUAUGCUACCUGUAGAUGUUUUUAAGUAAUAAACACAAUUUGCAUUUAAUCCAGCCCACCAAGGUAUACAUGACAUUUUAAUGGUACUUUUAGAAACUCAAUGAAUGGGGAAAACAUUUAGAAAGUGGAAGUCCAGUGAUUGUUUAGAAACGUUUCCACCACUAUGUGAUAUUUUUACUAACAACAAUGUAGGUAUGGGUCACCUAUAAAAACUCCUAUAUACAACCCAUUGUAUAUAAAAAUAGGUAAUCAACACAGACCUACUGUAUAGCACAAGGAACUAUAUCAACAUUUUGUAAUAAUCUAUAAAGGAAAAGAAUCUGAAAAAGAAUGUANAUUAACAAUAUUCAAUAAAAAAUAAAUACAAGUUUAAAAAAAAUUUACCCUUUUUUUGAAAAGUAGAAUUUUUAGUUUGUUUACAAUUUCCAGAGUUCCCAUAGUGGCUCAGCAGAAAAAAAUCUGACUAGCAUCCAUGAGAACGCAGAUUUGAUCCCUGGCCUUGCUCAGUGGGUUUAGGAUCUGGCAUUGCCGUUAGCUGUGGUGUAGGUCACUGACAUGGGUUGGAACUGGCAUUUCUGUGGCUGACAUGUAGGCCAGCACCUGCAACCUCCAUAUGCCUCAGGUGCAUCCCUGAAAA
rnacentral:lncRNA from 1 species